CUGCUGCCUUCCGUAGGAGUCUGGUCCGUGUCUCAGUACCAGUGUGGGGGACCUUCCUCUCAGAACCCCUACGCAUCGUCGCCUCGGUGGGCCGUUACCCCGCCGACUAGCUAAUGCGCCGCAUGGCCAUCCGCAGCCGAUGAAUCUUUAACCGCCGAGGGAUGCCCCUCCGCGGUGUUACGCGGUAUUAGACGGAAUUUCUUCCGCUUAUCCCCCUGCUGCGGGCAGGUUCCAUACGUGUUACUCACCCGUGCGCCGGUCGCCGGG
rnacentral:rRNA from 1 species